CGCCCAGUCCAGGGAGAAGUGAAAAUGGGAGACGUGCAUCUCCUGGAGUAAGGCUACCUGGCGCCGGAUGGCAGCGAAGUCCACGCAGUAGGACUUCCGCUUCUUGGUCACCACGCCGUCCACCUUAAUUAGCCUCUUACUGUGGUGGACAUCCCACAGUCUUCCCUAAGAAAAAUCGGCACAAUAAAGUAAAAGGCCAACUCUAAUAUCUAACCUCGGCCCACCCUCUGGAACUCUGGAACAGUGUUGACUUCCCACAGGACCCAGAAGUGUGAGGUAUGAGCCAAGAGCAAAAAUCACCCAAAUUCAGCUUUGAGGAGAUCAGAUGUCCAUUAUUAGUCAGCACUCAGCUGGGAGUUUCCUACAGCAAUGAAAUGGGCUUUGCUUCCUUAAGAUUAACUUUCUACUCCCAUAAAAUCUUACUGACUCCUGA